UAGGGAAUCUUCCACAAUGGACGCAAGUCUGAUGGAGCAACGCCGCGUGAGUGAAGAAGGUCUUCGGAUCGUAAAGCUCUGUUGUUGGUGAAGAAGGAUAGAGGCAGUAACUGGUCUUUAUUUGACGGUAAUCAACCAGAAAGCCACAGCUAACUACGUGCCAGCAGCCGCGGUAAUACGUAGGUGGCAAGCGUUGUCCGGAUUUAUUGGGCGUAAAGCGAGCGCAGGCGGAAUGAUAAGUCUGAUGUGAAAGCCCACGGCUCAACCGUGGAACUGCAUCGGAAACUGUCAUUCUUGAGUGCAGAAGAGGAGAGUGGAACUCCAUGCGUAGCGGUGGAAUGCGUAGAUAUAUGGAAGAACACCAGUGGCGAAGGCAGCUCUCUGGUCUGCAACUGACGCUGAGGCUCGAAAGCAUGGGUAGCGAACAGGAUUAGAUACCCUGGUAGUC
rnacentral:rRNA from 1 species